rnacentral:rRNA from 1 species
GAUGAACGCUGGCGGCGUGCCUAAUACAUGCAAGUCGAGCGAACGGACGAGAAGCUUGCUUCUCUGAUGUUAGCGGCGGACGGGUGAGUAACACGUGGAUAACCUACCUAUAAGACUGGGAUAACUUCGGGAAACCGGAGCUAAUACCGGAUAAUAUUUUGAACCGCAUGGUUCAAAAGUGAAAGACGGUCUUGCUGUCACUUAUAGAUGGAUCCGCGCUGCAUUAGCUAGUUGGUAAGGUAACGGCUUACCAAGGCAACGAUGCAUAGCCGACCUGAGAGGGGGAUCGGCCACACUGGAACUUAGACACGGUCCAGACUCCUACGGGAGGCAGCAGUAGGGAAUCUUCCGCAAUGGGCGAAAGCCUGACGGAGCAACGCCGCGUGAGUGAUGAAGGUCUUCGGAUCGUAAAACUCUGUUAUUAGGUAAGAACAUAUGUGUAAGUAACUGUGCACAUCUUGACGGUACCUAAUCAGAAAGCCACGGCUAACUACGUG